rnacentral:rRNA from 1 species
UGGGGAAUAUUGGACAAUGGGCGAAAGCCUGAUCCAGCCAUGCCGCGUGUGUGAAGAAGGUCUUCGGAUUGUAAAGCACUUUAAGUUGGGAGGAAGGGCAGUAAGCGAAUACCUUGCUGUUUUGACGUUACCGACAGAAUAAGCACCGGCUAACUCUGUGCCAGCAGCCGCGGUAAUACAGAGGGUGCAAGCGUUAAUCGGAAUUACUGGGCGUAAAGCGCGCGUAGGUGGUUCGUUAAGUUGAAUGUGAAAGCCCCGGGCUCAACCUGGGAACUGCAUCCAAAACUGGCGAGCUAGAGUAGGGCAGAGGGUAGUGGAAUUUCCUGUGUAGCGGUGAAAUGCGUAGAUAUAGGAAGGAACACCAGUGGCGAAGGCGGCCACCUGGGCUCAUACUGACACUGAGGUGCGAAAGCGUGGGGAGCAAACAGG